CACUUUCCAAAAGCGUCAAAGCUUAUUCGUAAUUCAUUAAAAAUCUCAACAUCCCCANGCCAACCCUUCAACAGUACUGAGUAGUUCUAUAUUCCUAUAGAAACUUUUAUGUUAAAACUAGUAACAAGAAGAAGACCUUCUCUUAAAUGCACCCAUAAAUCAGAAAGGACCCACCACUGAUAAUUAACGCCCAUGAGCCUAAAGUAGAAACUUAACUAGAAAAUACUACUGACCACAGCGUUAACCUGACACAAGAGCAUCCCAAGAAAGAUUAAAAGAAAAAGAAGGAACUCGGCAAAUAUUAACCCCGCCUGUUUACCAAAAACAUCGCCUCUUGAAAAACAUAAGAGGUCCAGCCUGCCCAGUGACACUGUUUAACGGCCGCGGUAUCCUAACCGUGCGAAGGUAGCGUAAUCACUUGUCCUUUAAAUAGGGACUAGUAUGAACGGCAUCACGAGGGUUAUACUGUCUCCUUUUUCUAAUCAGUGAAACUAAUCUCCCCGUGAAGAGGCGAGGAUAUAUCUAUAAGACGAGAAGACCCUAUGGAGCUUUAAACAAAACAACAUUUGCUAUAUCACCCAUCAAUUUCAGAAAAUUAAUUUUUAUUUUAGCACUAUGCUUGUUAGUUUUAGGUUGGGGUGACCGCGGAGAAAAAAGUAACCUCCACAUUGAAAGGGGCUCCCCCUAAGCAAAAAGCCACAACUUUAUGCAUCAACAAAUUGACAUCAAUUGACCCAAUAUUUUGAUCAACGAAACAAGUUACCCUAGGGAUAACAGCGCAAUCCACUUCGAGAGCCCAUAUCGACAAGUGGGUUUACGACCUCGAUGUUGGAUCAGGGUACCCCAGUGGUGCAGCCGCUACUAAAGGUUCGUUUGUUCAACGAUUAAAACCUAC
rnacentral:rRNA from 1 species